AAGAACACAUCUCUAACAGAAUCUUGUUCACUCUUUAGAUUUGCUGUACCACACAAUAAAACAACUAGAUCAUGGGACAAAAGAAAGAGAUUAUUUAUACUGGAUCUGUGUCUGCAAGCUGCACUCCAUCAGAAAGAGACAAUAGAAGAAACUGUGAAGAAACUGCUAUCAUCUGUGGAUUAUGAAAAAUCUGAUUUCCUGCUGGAUCUGUACUCACAUGUGAAGGACUAUGACACUCAAACAGGCAGGAGUGUCCUUCCAGCAUUACAGCCAAUUUAUCAGUCAGCUCCUGCAGUCUGGAGCAUAAAGCUCUCAGAGAGAAAGAGCUCCAUCCUCCUAGAAGUGCUGAAACUCCAAACAGAGAAGAAACCAGUAGAGCUGAGAGACUGGACAGAUGAAGAGAGUGAAGUGAAGGGAUUCCUCCAGUGUCUGCCCUACAUCUCACAGCUGAGGUUUGACUUGAAGGGAGAACCUGCUGUAAAGUUUCUACUGAAACUGUUUGUUUCAGAAUUAGAGUUUGAUGCAAAUCAAGGAGAAAAUUGCACUGAGCUAUUAACAUCUGUGUGCAGCUACACAUCUUUCCCUUUUAAUGAGGAUUAUUUUGAAUAUCAGAUUGAUCAGUGUGAUUUUCUGCUGGAUCUGUGUUCACAUGUGAAGGACUAUGAGACUCAAACAGGCAGGAGUGUCCUUCCAGCAUUACAGCCAAUUUAUCAGUCAGCUCCUGCAGUCUGGAGCAUAAAGCUCUCAGAGAGAAAGAGCUCCAUCCUCCUAGAAGUGCUGAAACUCCAAACAGAGAAGAAACCAGUAGAGCUGAGAGACUGGACAGAUGAAGAGAGUGAAGUGAAGGGAUUCCUGCAGUGUCUGCCCUACAUCUCUGAUUUAAGGUCUGUAUUUAAUACAAUUUAACUUUAAUUUGAAGUUGGAUAAAAACAUUGUAAUUUGUGCAUGUUUAAAAUUAUUGUGUGUAAUUCUUUUUUUUUGACAAUGUGAUUCCAAACUCUAAAAUCUAUUAAUAAGCUUUUUCUUUCAACUAAAAAAAUCCAUUAUUCUGAAUCAGUUUUCUUUGGAGUAACAACACUAAAGAGUGUCACACACCAGAUCUAGCAGGCAGAUGAUAUGCAGCGUCUUAGAAUUUGAAAUCAUUGUUUUCUGUGAAUAUACACACACCGGCACUGCUAUUUGUCAUCCAUCAGUGUCUCCCAGAUAUGUUUUGGUGGGCUAUUCAAAAUCACUUUCGAACACAGAGGGGCCAAUGAUAGUCGAGUAUCAGUUGCAUGGGGAGUGGAACUCGGACAUCUGUAGGUUUCAGUGCCAUAGAGAAACAUUGGAGGACCCGAAGCUUGCAUUGGUUUUAUGGUAUUUAUGCUGCAAAAAUGGAAAAAGAUGUGCCUGGGGUAUUUGUAACACUGAUUCCAGGUAUCCUGAGAGGAUAUGCAAUAGAAUUUAUUUUAUUACAUUUCCUAAACCCAAACAAAACAAAGCAAAAUGUCCAUAAGCAUUUAAUCCCAAUCCCAAUGAAGAGAAAAACGUUCAUUUUCUGGUUGUCAUACUCUCAUUAAGUUACAAUUUUCAUCUGCUCCAGCAGAACGCUGUUAUCUUGUGUUUCAGCAAGGUAUCUCUGGCUAAAACUAACAUUAAAGUUAGUCCGUCCAUACUAAUGUACAAACCUAAAUAGCGGACACAGGGCUCCAGACUGCGACCAAAUGGUUGCAUUUUGCGACCAUUUUUUCUUCCGGUGCGACUAAUUUUUGUGAGCGGUCGCACUGGCGCGACCACCAUGUUGUCCAGCUCACAAGCACUGCCAUUUUUGUUGCAUUUGAGAAACCUCAAAUGGCAAACGAAAGCGAAACUAAACUGCGCUACAUUUCAGCUGCAGCGCAGACCGUUUAUCAGCUCAGACCACAAUGCAAACAAACUUCCCGAGCUCAGAAGCAAAGUUGAUUUACUCGGAAGCAAAGUUGAUUUCGCGACACUGUUACUGCACAGAUGCAACAGUGCUGCGAGAUCCAGUGAGAAGUGUUUGAAUUCGCUGCUCAUUGAAAAGGUUGUGUGAAAUCUCUAAAAUGGUCCAGUUUGAAAGUAAUUUUUAAUGGGAUGAUCAAAAUAUACUUUGUGGUAAACAAACACUUUUGUAAAAUAAAAAUAAAAACAUCAAAACA
ensembl:lncRNA